GGUAUGGGAUGAGCUUGCGUCCGAUUAGCUAGUUGGCGGGGCAACGGCCCACCAAGGCGACGAUCGGUAGCCGGCCUGAGAGGGUGAUCGGCCACAUUGGGACUGAGAUACGGCCCAGACUCCUACGGGAGGCAGCAGUAGGGAAUAUUGCACAAUGGGGGAAACCCUGAUGCAGCAACGCCACGUGUGGGAAGAAGCAUUUCGGUGUGUAAACCACUGUCGUGAGGGAAUAAGGCGUCUUCUCGGAGACGUUGAAUGUACCUCGAAAGGAAGCACCGGCAAACUUCGUGCCAGCAGCCGCGGUAAUACGAGGGGUGCAAGCGUUGUUCGGAAUCACUGGGCGUAAAGGGAGCGUAGGCGGAGAUGCGAGCGGACUGUACAAUACCGGGGCCCAACCCCGGGCCUGCAGUUCGGACUGCACCUCUUGGAUAGUUCAGGGGCAGGC
rnacentral:rRNA from 1 species